rnacentral:tRNA from 1 species
CGGGGCAUAGUGUAAUGGCAGCACGAGUUCUUCGGGAGAAUUUAGUCCCAGUUCAAAUCUGGGUGCCCCGA